rnacentral:rRNA from 1 species
GAUGAACGCUGGCGGCGUGCUUAACACAUGCAAGUCGAACGGAAAGGCCGAAGCUUGCUUCGGUACUCGAGUGGCGAACGGGUGAGUAACACGUGGGUGAUCUGCCCUGUACUUCGGGAUAAGCUUGGGAAACUGGGUCUAAUACCGGGUAUGACGAUCUCUUGGAUGGGGUUGUGGAAAGCUUUUGCGGUAUGGGAUGAGCUCGCGGCCUAUCAGCUUGUUGGUGGGGUAAUGGCCUACCAAGGCGUCGACGGGUAGCCGGCCUGAGAGGGUGUACGGCCACAUUGGGACUGAGAUACGGCCCAGACUCCUACGGGAGGCAGCAGUGGGGAAUAUUGCACAAUGGGCGCAAGCCUGAUGCAGCGACGCCGCGUGGGGGAUGACGGCCUUCGGGUUGUAAACUCCUUUCGCAAUCGACGAAGCCUUUUGGUGACGGUAGGUUGAGAAGAAGCACCGGCUAACUACGUG